rnacentral:misc_RNA from 1 species
GAACAUAAAUAUUAGUACUUUUAUCUGCUCUUCAAGCAAACAAACAAAAUAAUGAUACUAAGAAUACAAAUUUUGAGACACAAUCUUAAAAAUCAUGAACCAACACAAUGGGUAAAGUCUCCGCUAAGUUAAUCAUUGACAUUGUUAACAACACAACCUUCCAGAGCAUCAGAAUAAACAAAUUAAGUAUCAUAAGAGAGAAUUGAUAACUGUGUACAUGAAUCUUCGGCUGAAUACCAAUAAUGCCUCUCUAUCACAAUGCUGCAGAAUUUUUCAGCUUCUGAGAUGGUGUGGAUGAGCCCAAUUUGAUCAAAAUUUAUCUCUGUGCUCCUGGUAAAAAGUUUGCUAGGGAGGGAACCCCUUGUUGCCUCAUUUCUUCUUGUGCUCGCCUCAUUUCCUCAGGAUCUGUUAUAGUACACAACAGAGUAUAUGAUAAGUGAAGAAAUAAGCAACGUCAAAAGUAAUUCAACAAGUGCAAAAAUCCUCACAAAAUUUUAAGGUCAAUGAAGAUAAACACAAAAUAAAAUAAUUGAUUGGCAAUGCACGUGAAAAAGGAAUGACCAAUUAUGUCUUACUCAAAAUAUUGAAUGAUGAGAAAAUACAACAUGAUUUUCCAUGAUAUUCUAAGAAUAAUUGUGCCAAACUUGUGAUUAUUGAAUGCAGGUGAGCAAAAGUAAUGUUGAUUUGCGGAUCCAACUAAUGCAUCAUUUAGCGAAAUCAGCUACUCAGUAUUCAGGCAAUGCAAAGCUCCUGCAAUUCCUCAAGGCCAUGUCUAAAACAUAUUAAUUAAUAAAAUAUAGUACUUUACCCAUGUUCUCCACUAAUUUGGGCAUUAGGAACAUAACCACCAACAUAAAUCCCACCAUAAGACCCAUUGGGCUUUUGACAACAGACAUUAUGGAGAAGGGUUCCCUAAUCUCAUAAUACUGUUCAUCUUUCAGUGGCUCUAAUACCAACUCACUCAGACCUCUCCUGUUCUCUGUCAAUGCCGCCUGAACCUUGCCUGGGAAUCUGGCACUAACAUCAACUCGCACUGGAGAAAAGAAAUAGCCUAUCGCAGCCACUUCAAUUAAAUGAGUCCCUGCUGACACGUUAUAGCUUUUAGCGUACAAGUCAAGGAAUCAAGAUGUAUCCCAGAAAAGAUUUACUAGCAUUCCCUUGAUAACAUAAUACUAAAGUCUAUAUUUGAAUCUAGUUGCAAGUGAAAAAACAGGUGGAAGAAUUCCCCAGAAUGGCUACAACAAGAACAGUAGAAAACCAUGCCCAUGAGAAGAAUAACAGGGGAAACAAAACUAGUAGGAUACAACGAAAAAUAUCCAUCAGGCCUUAGAAAAGUGAUGCUUUGGCCACCAUUAAGUAUAACUUUGACAUUGGAUAGUUUUCCAGGAAAACCAAAUCCUUUUACACCCACACCUGCCAAAUAAAUUCAUCAAUAAUCUAACUGAACUAAAAAGGAAGCAAAUCAGAGAGAUAAACAGCAAGCAAGAUGAAGGGUAACCAUAACUGUUCAUGUUAUUGUGAGGCAAAGUAAACCACAAAUCAAAAUUUUGAAUCAGGUUUGAAAAUAAUUGACUAAUCACUGUAUCUCCAUCAAGAUUUCAACAUCUGUUGUUGAAGCAGGGUGAAAUACAGCACCAGACACCACUUGAGCUGGUAUUGGUUGCCCAAAUCAUGAAUAAAAUUUGUAGCCAUUGGUUAUAAAAGCUAACUUGACAGUUGACAACUAACAUUGUGCGAUAGAUUAUUUUACUAAAUAAACUCAACAGGCAGGAACUAGGCUUCCCUUUUAAGAGGAACUAAAUUAUGGACUUCUACUCUACACCACUUUCUUUUUAUGUAAGAUACUCUCUUCCUCGAAUUCUUCAUUAAGAUUGAAUUGACAAGCAACAGGAAUGGACUAGACAGCUCUUGGAAAUCACCUCAUUUUGGCAUGAAUGAGAAGUCAAGAUCCCAUAAGUCACCGUUCAUUAAUACUGUUCUAAUGUAAUGGAGUCCAAGUUUAAUUUUUUAGAUAAGCCAUGCUUCAUCUAGUUUGUCAUUCACAUUGAAAAUCUACAAUCAACUCUAGCCACUAUGAAAGUGCCACAAGAACUGACCAUUGGUAUUACAAAACGAAACUAUGCAUAAAUCCCCAUCUAAUAUCAGCUAUUUGGUUCAUUUUACUCUCUCCUACUAGAUUUAGAGCUGCAUCUAUAGAAAGAUAUAGAGCAAGAAAAAGCUUUAGCAUGAGAACCCCAAUCAACAAGUUUAACCAAGAAACUUCGCUCAAAUAUGGAACACUUCACUCAACUCCUGAUAGACAAUUCUUUUGGGUUGGGAUUGGGGGGAAGCAGUAGUGUCUUUGGGCAUUCGAAGACCCUAAAACAGAGGCCACUGAAUUACAUUAUAAAUUUAAGUAAAUUUCUACAUGAACUUCAGAAAUAAAAUCAAAGCAGGCGGCAGAAGCGAUUUGGAACUUGAUUGCCACACUAGUAUUGAUCCUCUUUUGGGUAAUAUUGGGUGAAUCCGAAAGGAGGUAUUCUAAAUCCUUAAUUUAAACACUAAUAGAAUGAAGAAAUGAUCUCAAGUUCACGACUGAUCUAAAACAAUUAAAAUAUAUCCCU